rnacentral:lncRNA from 1 species
CGUGGGAUGCGUCCUCUCCUCCUCCACCUCAACCAUCUUGGGUAGCCUCUCGAGGCUACGGCGGCGACGGCGAGGCUGGGGCGGCGGGGCAGGUGGUGGGUACGCGAACGCCAUCCCCGACAGCGUAGCGUGCAGCUCCUCCGGGCUCCACGUCCUGCUCCUCGCCGGAGUAGCGAGAGUCUCCGUGGGAUGCGUCCUCUCCUCCUCCACCUCAACCAUCUCGGGGAGGCUGCGGCGGCGACGGCGAGGCUGCGGCGGCGGGGCAGGUGGUAGUUGUGCGGACGCCAUCCCCGAGAGCGUAGCGCCCAGCUCUUCCGGGCUCCACUUCCUGCUCCUCGCCGGUGUAGCGAGAAUCUGCGUGGGAUGAAUCCUCUCCUCCUCCACCUCAACCAUCUUGGGGAGCCUCUCGACGCUC